rnacentral:rRNA from 1 species
AAUCAACGCUGGCGGCGUGCCUCAGACAUGCAAGUCGAACGCGAAAGUUUCCUUCGGGAAGCGAGUAGAGUGGCGCACGGGUGAGUAACACGUAAGUAAUCUACCUCGGGGUGGGGAAUAACAUCGGGAAACCGAUGCUAAUACCGCAUAAUGCAGCGGCUUCAUAUGAAGACAGUUGUUAAAGCAUUUAUGUGCCUGGAGAGGAGCUUGCGGCAGAUAGCUAGUUGGUAAGGUAAUGGCUUACCAAGGCAACGAUCUGUAGCCGACCUGAGAGGGUGGUCGGUCACACUGACACUGAAUAACGGGUCAGACUCCUACGGGAGGCAGCAGUCGGGAAUUUUGGGCAAUGGGCGCAAGCCUGACCCAGCAACGCCGCGUGAAGGAUGAAGUAUUUCGGUAUGUAAACUUCGUAAAAUAGAAGAAUAAAUGACGGUACUAUUUGUAAGGUCCGGCUAACUACGUGCCAGCAGCCGCAGUAAG